rnacentral:sRNA from 1 species
GCCGGGCACAGUGGUGCAUGCCUGUAAUCCGAGCAGCUUGGGAGGCUGAAGUAGAAGGAUUGUGAGUUCAAAACAACUAAGUGAUACCCUCUCAAUACCUGGUAUAAACAUAUAUAUAUUUAAAUAUAUAGAGUUUUCCUUCUU